UGCUUUUCCUCUAUUUUUUUUUUUUUUUUGCUCUUUUUUCUGGAGUGCUAUUUAGAAAAUUUCUUUGCAGAAUUCUUUACAAACAAUCGUCAAAAUUCAUUUGCUUGCACCACUGAUGGAGAAGCAGCAGAUGGAGGGAGUUGUACCGUGUCUGGUUUGCAUCAUGCAGAACCGCCAGAGGUCAGACUGAAACUCCUUUUCCAAUGCUGGAUUCAGACUGACUUCUGUCAUUGCAAUGGAAAGUGCAGAAGGGCUGCAAGAAAUUUACUACAUUCCUCUGUCCCUGGGAGACUGCAUCCUUGCAGAGUAUUUUCUAGCUCUUGGUGUUAUACACAAAGGCCUUUGGUCUUGCCUCAUGUUUUUUGAGAGCUGGUGGGACUGUCACAACUGGUUUGAAGACUUUCAUGAUACUCAGCCUGGAAUUACCCUUUAUUUUCAUCCCAUCACUCAUACCAUACUUCUGUUGUGACAUCUCAGGUAUGAGAAUAACAAAGAGUGUAUUUUUGAAUAGGAGUAAUUUGACUUGCACAAAUUAACUUGGAUAUGUUACAUGUGGCUUGUAUAAGAAAUAGCCUAUCCUCACAACACUAAUGACCCUUUUUGAACAGGUGAUUUUCAGGGUGAAUAUGUGGAGAGAUCAGGUGCUUGCUGCUGUAGCAUCUGUGAAUGAUGAAGUGAGCAAUACAGGCUUCGAUAGUACAAGAAAUAAAGGGGUUGUAAAUUCUGAGCUUCUCCAAGCAACCUCACUUCUCCCUCAGCUUUCCCCUCUUUGUUGUGUUGUGUGAUGGAAACAGCAGUAUUGCUGCUGCAUACCACAAAGAACCAUCCCACCUGUAGCCCACAGACUGGAUCUAGCCCACAGGACAAUUUAUACUUUGCACUGGGAUAGGUGAGAUGGGACAGUAUAGUAAGUUUUACAGCUAUUGAAUACCUUUCAAUUCUUUCACUUCUAGUUGCUUUGGCCCAUUAGAUACUCUCAUGUUCAAACAGAAGGAGAAAGUUGCUGCAACAGGAAUCUGGCCUGUGGUGGUAAAAAAGCUGUCCAGAGUCCUGUGUGAGCACAGCGCCUCCAUCUUCUGGGACCACCACUGUGUUCUACCAUAGCUGAAGAUGCUGAGCAGAUGGAGGUGGGGUUGAAACUUGUGCAAGGUGGGUCAAAAUCCAUUUUGGGGAGAAUGGUGGACAAAGGGGCAAAAUAGACGUAGCACAGAAAAAAAAAAAACUUACAAAAUCAAAAGUCACAGACUUGUCCAUUAUUAGGGUUAAAGUUUGAGCAGAAAAAGUUUUGCCUGUGGCUGUGAUGUGAUCAUAGGCUGGGGAUCACGUGCUCUGAGUCUGUAGACAUAAGACAGAUUGAGGAAAACUGGCAUCAGGACAGGCUUUGUUCUACCAUAUUAGGUCAGCAUGCUUUGUCCUUGACUACAAGGGAUGCCUGAGGAGUAACUGUAGUUCACACCCCCAGCCUGCUCAGUCUUAAAUUGCCCGUUGCCCAGCUGACUGGCAGUCAAUACAACCAGUGCCACUGAGAGCCACUUGUGACUGUCCUGGAUGAACUCAGAUCUGCCUAUGGAAAAACAUAAUGAAUUACUAAAAGGAAAGCAGGAGUUCGAACUGCAAUAGCCAUGGUGUGGAAUAUAUAUUUUAGAUCUGUCACUGCAAGAUAGAUUUGUACAUCAUGGACCUAAUUUUUGGCUGAGAUACCCUCCAGGCAAUUCCAUUGAUGUUAGUUCUGUUGCACAAAAAUGAAGGUCCUGUUUAAUUCACCCGGAGCUUCUGGAUCAAGUCUGACGAAUGCAGAGCGGAGCUGUUUACAACACUGACUCUUCAUGCCCAGAUUUUCACUUACUGAAGAGACAGAAGAGUUCAGGAUUGUAUCCAACAGAGUUCACAGAAGCUGUGGCAGCUUGCCUGCACCACAAGCCGACGCCGGUGUGCCUGUAGCUCCACUGCAACCAGCACAGCAGAAGAGAUUACAGGGGUGCUGGAGCUACUUUGUACGGAAAAGGGGCUGGGAAAGGCUCUCUCCUUUGCCCCACUCUAGGAGCCUUCUCCAUGCCCUCUUCCACCAGUUCUCUCUACUGACAGUAAGGUGUGUGCGUGGCUGGUACUGAGAGCAUUUAUCUGCUUUCUUCAAAAGCAGAGCUGGCCUCUGCCUAGCUGUCACAAGCAGAGAGCAUUGAUGUCCCAUUGAUGAUGAAGAGGUGGCUGCAUGUGAACAGGGUUUUCUUUAGAAAAUAAAUUAGUAACACACAAUUGAAACUCACACGUCUUUUUUUUUUUGGUGGAAAAUCAACUCCUCUGAAGUUGGGAAAAGCCAGAUAUAUUUUUGUCCAGCCAACCCAAAUUUAGCCUUGUGUCCGUGUGUUCUGCUACAAUCUUCAUCUGCCUUCGUUGUGGACUCUCUUCCCCAGGGCCUUGAUUCAUAUGAAGUUUGGCCUGGUUUCAAAAUCAACACUUUGAAAUUAGGAAGUACCAAACCUGGGGUUUCCCAAGUAGCCUUAAUUCUGCAACUUUGCAUGCCUGCCCUUCUCCAUUUCAUCUCUUGUUUGAACAGAAAAUGUCAUCUCAAAAUUUAGGCUAGCUUGGCAAAUGCAAAUGUGUUGUUUCCUCACUUCUAGAAGUUUGAUCUUGCCAAUGUUGCAAUCUCUUAAUACCCUCUCUUUGGUAAGAAAUAAAUAGUAUAAAGUAAUCUAAAAGUACUUAAGAAGGUAAUAAACAUAGAAUUCAGUUAUCUGAAAGGAUCAGUGAUGUGAAUGGAUUGUGGGCUACCAAUACAGCAUUAUUGUACUUAAUGGAUCUGUUCAUUCAUACUUGUCUCUUUUCAAGUGCCUAGAUCAAAGGCUAAUAUAAACUCCAAGGCACAGGAAAGAGAAAAGCAAAUUAUGUGUGAGCUAUAAGCAGAAAUUCAGCCUUUGUACUUAACAGUAGAAUAGAAUUGUAAGAAAACUGGCAGAUAUUUUAAAAUCAACAAGAAUACAAGCCCUCCAGCCCUCAAAACAAAUUAUGAAGUAGUUUUAAAAAACAACUUCAGCCAAAAAGAAUAUCAUAUCAUAGAUGCUUUUAUUUUGGGUCUUCUACCAGGCUGCUGACCCGGAGCUUGGCAAACCUACACCUUGGUUUUUUGGGUUUUGUCAGUGAUCUGCUGCACAACACAAACAGACACAGAUAUUCGAUGUUUUGUUUAUUUACCGAGAAGAUUUUUAUGGCAGACUGUCUGUUUCCUAUGAAUGUUCUUUCAUGUGGAUGUCUACCCCAAAGAUUAAUUUAAUAAUAACAGUAUAUUACAAGUUUUCAGCCCUAAUUUACUUUCCUUUUCCACAAACAACCAUUUUCUGACAUUUUGUGAAUUGCAGUGCCAGCAGAUGUGAACAGAUGUGGCUGAACAGUUAAGACAGAGCCCUUCCCCAAGAGGCAGUUGAAUUGUUAAAACUGAGCUGUUCCCAAAUGACUCUUGUUCAUUGUAAUACUCUGACUAAAUAUGACAAAGGUUUCUGCAUCAGCAGUGCUUUACUGGGUCUGAGUGUGUUGACCCUUUCUCAGUAAAAGCUUUUUGAUGCAAGUGCCCAAAGGCAUGUAAGUUCCUGUUGUUUAUAACUAUGAACUACUGGUUAAAAGUGAUUCGAGUUCUGAGAAGAUAUUACUGUAAAAUAUUUCUUUGUCUCAAGCAGCAUGGCGCUUGACAACAUUUUCAGACUGAGUGCCUUAGCACCAUUUUGAUAUAUUUGAGUGUUAAAGAACGAGCUACCUCCACAUAAGGAAAGCUGCUAGGAGAUUUUUCGUUCACCAGAGUAUCCUCAGCUGGUUUUUUGUUAUUUCAGAGAAACGAGUCCACCCUUGUGUUAUUUUGGGGAUACAUCCACUCCUGAGACUGGGUGCCAAACACGCACAAAACACACAGGCUAUUUGACUUCUGCUGUAGCUUUACCCAGAUUCUUGCCUUACACUUCAAAGCAACUCUUCCAAAUUGUGUCUUUAGUCCCUGCAGCCAGCAUGUUUGGUACAAGACAAUUCCUUAAUUGAAGAAACAUACCAUAUCAAGAGGGGUAGCAUUGUUUCCACUGCAUGUAAUAGGUACCACAUGCAUAAAAUCGCUGUAUGACUCUUACAAGCCAACAUUUAAAGUAAAGUUGGCUCUGAAGUGAAAUCCACUUAGGAAGUGCGGGUAGAAAGCCUGUGACACUUUUAUACUACCUAAGUGAGGGAAACAAACAUUUUACACAUGAGUCCGAUAUCACAGUUGGCUGAUUUCGCAGACUGUCAAGUAUGGGUUGAGGUGAUCAGCCUUGAACAAUCCUCUCUUGUCAACUUUAUUAUCUGAUUUGCUCUUACUUUCAGUUUUCCCUUAGCUAAAAAGAAGACGAGCUGGAAAACAGGAUUAGUUAUUAAAGCAUCUCUUUCUAUCUUGGAGAGGUCCUACAAAAAUUUCUUGGGUGACUAUCACUUCUCUGACACUUCUAGCAGACAGUCCAAUGAAGCAGAACUUUGAUAGGAAAAAAGAGCAGGAUUAGAUAAAUUUGUUUUCAAUUUGAUACUCUUCAACCUUUCAAGCUUAUACAUUAAACAAAAAAUAUGAAUCAAUCCUGAUACAGUUAAAACACAAUAACAUAGUCUGUGGGCCUGAUGAGCUUCUUCAUACACUGUCCCCAACAGUUUUACCUGUGGAGCUACCUCUGUUAUUUGCAGCUUUUUCUCUUUUCUCCAGGGAUGGUGACUCCACUGCUUCCCUGGACAGCCUCUUCCAAUGCUUGACAAUCCUUUCAGUGAAGUAAUAUUUCCUAAUAUCCAAUCUAAACCUCCUCUGGUGCAACCUGAGCCCAUUUCCUCUCACCCUAUUGCUUGUGACUUGGGAGAAGAGACCAACAACUGCCUCACUCCUGUCUCCUUUCAGGUAGUUGUAGAGAGCAAUGAGGUCUACCCUCAGCCUCCUCCAGACUAAACAACCUCAGUUUCCUUAGCCACUCCUGGUAAGAUUUGUGUUCUAGGCCCUUCUUGAACUGCUUUGUUGCCAUUCUCUGGACACAAUCCAGCAACAUGAUGUCAUUCUUGUACUGAAGGGCUGAGAAUUGAUCACAAUAUUCAAGGUGUAGCCUCACCAGUGAUGAGUACAGGGGGACAAUCACUUCCCUACUUCUGCUGACAAUGCUGUUUCUGGCACAAGGCAGGAUGCUAUUGUCCUUCUUGGCCACCUGGACACACUGCUGGUUCGUAUUCUGCCAGCUGUUGACCAGCACCCUCAGGUCUUUUUCCACCAGGCAACUUUCCAGCCAUUCAUCCCCAGCCUGUAAUGUUGCAUGGGGUUGUUGUGGCCCAAGUGGGUGCACUCAAUCCCCUCAUCCAAGUCAUUGAUCAAGAUAUUAAACAGAGCCGGCCCCAACACUGAGCCCUGGUGAACACCACUUGUGACUGGAUUUAACUGGAUUUAACUCCAUUCACCGCAACUCUUUGGGCCUAGCCACCCAGCCAGAUUUUUACCCAGCUAACAGUAUGUCCAUCCAAGCCAUGAGCAGCCAGUUUCUCCAGGAGAAUGCUGUGAGAAAUGGUCUCAAAGGCUUUACUAAAAUUUAGGUAGGCAACAUCCACAGGCUUUCCCUCAUCUACUAAACAGAUCACCUUGUCAUAGAAGGAGAUAAGGUUGGUCAAUCAGGACCUGCCUUUCCUAAACCCAUGCUGAAUAGGCCUGAUAAUCUGAUUAUCCUCUAAGUGCUGUAUGAUGCCCCUCAAGAUCAUCUGCUCCACAACCUUCCCCAGAACCAAGGUCAGGCUGGCAGGUCUAUAGUUCCCUGAAUCAUCCUUCUGGCCAUUCUUGUAGAUGGGUGGCACAUUUGCUGACCUGCAGUCAACAAAUGAAGAACAGUGAAGAACUGAAUCACCUCUUCGAGGGAAAGAAAAAAGAAAGGUGUGUCUUGGCAUGCUGUACAACGUAACAGUUUUGACAAAUUUUAUAGUGAAUUUACACUAAAAAUAGGCACUUCUAGAAGUAAUUCAUGGAAUGAAUAUGAAGCAUGAGAGCUGAUAGAUGUAGCAUUAUGAGAAGGGCUGAGAGGAGCAGAUCUGUCUGCAGUCAAUUCACCUUAUGUCACUCAGGAAGUAAAUACUAAAUCCACCUGAAUAGGUAAUUAAAGUGUGCUGUAGUAUUUUAAUGUGCUCGAGGUGUUCUUAUCCUGAUAUUUUCAUAAAUAAAAUAGACCCAUGGAAAAAAAGGAAAAUAACUGUCAAAAUAUGGUUUAAUUGAUGUUGAUGAAAGUGGGAUUUUUGUUACAGAUAUUACUGCUGUUGUUUAUCAGUACAUACAGCUCAAUUCCAUUAGAGAGGAGAUGAUAAAAUAUUGGUACACUCUCUUGUCAAAACCCUUUUUCUUUGGUUUCCACAGGCACAUAUAUUGGCUUGGAGCUCACUGAAUCUGUUGGGUAUGGCAAUUCCUUUGAAUAUUGGAUGUGGGUUCGUGCUAACUGCAAUAGAGAAUUUAAUUAAGAGGCAUCAGCUCUACAGAUAGAUUCAAGAUGUCUAUGAGUCUUUCUGCAUUGCCUUCCAUUUGCUUUUCUAUCAAUUUCUCUUGAUCUCUACUUCCUGUAAUGUCCAUAGUUAUGAUGUUAAAAUUCAGGAAAUAUUUUUUCGUGAUCUGUUCUGUAUCCUAUCUUGUAGUUUCAUCUUUAAGUUAUAAUGUGUAUUUGCUAUGCCUAAAUUUUUGUAGUAGGUUUUAUACAAUUUUUGUAGCUAUCUUAGACAAAAUCAGUUUUUUAUUAAAUCCAUGAGAUAUAUAAUUAGAUUGCAACUGUCCUCUUAAUAAUUGUUUCAGUUCUUCCUUAACAUACUGUAUACACAGUAAAAUUUGUAUUCACAAUUAGCUGUAUUUAUCAGAAGAUGAUAGUUUCAACCUUUAUUUAACUCUGCCUCCAACUGCAUCAUAGGAUCAUGACAGGAUCAUUGGCAGCGAGAUUGUGUGCAUCCUCAGCAAGUUUGUGGAUGACACCAAGCAGAGUGAUGCAGUUGCCACACCAGAAGGAUGGGAUGUCGUCCAGAGAGACCUGGACAGAAUGGAGAAGUGGGCCUGUGAGAACCUCUUGAGGUUCAACAAGGCAAAGUGCAAGGUCCUACACCUGGGUUGGGGCAAUCCGCGGUUUCAGUAGAGGCUGGAAGAUGAUGUGAUUGAGAGCAGCCCUGCAGAGAAGAACUAGGGGUUGCUGGUCGAUGAGAAGCUUGACAUCAGCCAGCAAUAUGCCCUUGCAGCCCAGAAGGCCAAACAUAUCCUGGGCUGCAUCAAAAGAAGCGUGGCCAGCAGGUCGAGGGAAGUGAUUCUGCCCCUAUAUUCCUCUCUUGUGAAACCUCAUCUGGAAUAGCGUGUCCAGUUCUGGAAUCCUCAAUGUAAGAAGGAUAUGGAGCUGUUGGAAUGGGUCCAGAGGAGGGCUACAAAGAUGAUCGGAGGGCUGGAGCACCCUCCCUACGAGGACAGGUUGAGAGAGUUGGGGUUGUUCAGCCUGGAAAAGAGAAGGAAGGAGAAGGUUUAGAGGAGAUCUUAGAGCGACCUUCCAGUACCUGAAAAGGACCUACAGGAAAGCUGGAAAGGGGCUAUUCACAAAGGCUUGUGGUGACAGGACGAGGGGGAAUGGGUACAAACUGGAGAGAGGCAGAUUUAGACUAGACAUUAGGAAGAAUUUCUUCACCAUGUGAGUUGAGAGGCACUGGAACAGGUUGCCCAGGGAAGUUGUGGUUGCCCCCUCCCUGGAGGUGUUCAAGGCCAGGUUGGAUGGGACCUUGAGCAGCCUGGUCUGGUGGGACGUCCCUGCCCAUGGCAGGGGGGUUGGAACUAGAUGAUCUUUAAGCCCUAACUAUUCUAUGAUUCUAUGAUUCUA